rnacentral:misc_RNA from 1 species
GGACCAUGCAGUGCCGGGCAGCGGAAUUGGCCAGAGGUGACGGCCUGAUGGGUCCCCAUUUUAUCGCAAAUCCCACAGCCUGUCUUGUCGUCAUCUCUUUCUCUUCUGUGCAUUCAAUUCAAUAUAUGCUUUAGUGGCUUUUCUUUCUUUUGACUGUCUCUUUUCUUUAUCAUUUAUGCUCAUAGUUUAUACACGCACACGCACCCCUUCUCCCUUCAUAAUUUCUCUACACUUGGUCCACUUUCUUUAAUCAUUCAUUCAUUUGUGCUUACCCAUAACAACCUCUUCCCUUCCUUUGACAUCUUCUUCAUGGAAACAGAUUCAACACCAAUGGAUGAUUCACUGCCGUCGCCAGGAGAGCCAAGGCGGGAAGAUCAGCACCGGACACCAUCACCAUCAACUCUUCUUCCUAAAACACAGCCUAACGGUUUCUAUGGGAAGCAUCGACUGGCAGCUGCAAUCUCUAAUCUCCAAAACCAAAUCAAUUAUCUCCAGGAGGAGCUUGACCAACUUGAGGAGAUAGGUGAAGCCUCCAUCGUUUGUAAAGAGUGAGUAAUGUAGAGCAAUGAAGCCUCGUCUCGUCUCCAUGUUUUUGUUAAUUUUCCUUGUGGAAUUCUGAUAUGAUAUGACCUGCAGGCUCAUUUCAAGUGUUGAAUCCAUUCCGGAUCCAUUGCUUCCACUGUAAGUGUAGUUAUGUUAUCAAUACGCUUUCUUUUAUGGUUACAGGUGAGGUUUUUGAUGGAUGGUGUUGGAUUUUGUAGGAGCAAAGGACCCACCAAUAUUAACUGGGAUCGGUGGUUCAAGGGAGCUCAGAACUCACGAAAACGCUGGAUCUAACAAGCUCCAAUCCAAGAAACUUUCUUUCAGAUACAACUUCCGGGACAUUGUUAUUAACAAUUAUUGUCAAUCCAAUUCCUGCAACGUAUUUAUGGAAAUAACAAGUACAGCAGCUCCCCAACUUUUUGCAAAAUUCCAUGCCCUUUUUGCUCAGAAUUGCAGGUGCUACUUGCUCGCUAUUGCUGUACCUUACUGCUCUGUAGUUAGUUCUGACUUCACGAAAAAAAAAAAAAUUUUUGCAAUAAGAUCAAAUUUCAAAAUUGUUGGCUUGCGGCCGCGUUAUUUGAGUUUCAAUUCCAAUCUUCUGUUCAUCCACAAAGAAAAGAAAUUUCCGGUCAGACCAUCUUGCAAUUGCAAGGAAAUAAUGAAUAAUUUGUCCUUUUCACUUAGUCAUCUCAAUAUAAUUGGUCAUAUCAAUAAAACUGGUCUUCAGAGGUUAUAUCAAACACAUUAAUUCGUUUUAAUCAAAAGUAAUUCAGUUAAAAUAGGCUGAAUUCGCCAUGGGUUAGGUAACACAUUCUCCAAUCCAGAAAGAACCAUGGACAACGCAGAGCCUGGGGCAAGAAGCUGUAGUGCACAAUAUCAAGUGGAGAGAAAAUCGUAAGUUUAACUGUAAAACAUUACCAAAUAGCAAAGCAUUUAGCACUUCAUACGUUGAUCAUCCAUUAGUUCACUUGGCCCCGAUUCAAAUGCGAAGUACA